GAGCGAGGCUGCUGCCGCCGGUGGUGUCGUCGGUCAGGAAGGGCUCCGGAGAUUCGUAAAUGGAGUCAUCUGAAAGAGAGGAGAGACGGCCCGACUGUUUGGGAGCAAUCAGCGCACAAAAAGACGACCCACCUCCUCGUCUAACGAACACCUUCCCUUCCCGCUCAGCGCCACGCAUCGUUUGCUCUGCAGAUCCCCGUCAAAUAUCCGACAAAUCAGCUUCCAGCGGCGGCGGAGACGACGAACGCUGAUUUGUUGGAGGGGGACGCAGGAUCUCCAGCCGGUGAUACGGUGGACGUCCACCUGGGGACAGGUGAGUCCGUCUACCUGCAGCCCAGCUCAUCACGCCUCCACCGCCGUGCUCCACAAUCAGCGCGUCUCUUUGUCCAGGACUGCAUUUAAACCCACCAGCCUACAGCACUCACACCACCUAUCGCUGCCUCUCAGCUUACUUGCAAGUCGGCAUAAUUAGGUUUGCCAACUGCUGAGCCAAACUUAAUCCAGCUGAAUAAAAUGAAUUUUAUAAAAAAAAAAAAAAAAA